GGCAGAGUAGGUAGUUUGCGUAAAGUGUUAGAGGAUGGGACGUUGCCUCUAAACGAAGAGCUUUUUAGCUUGCGUUAAACUAUCGCGUUCGCUGAC
rnacentral:ncRNA from 2 species